rnacentral:piRNA from 1 species
AACCACCCUGGGAGGGCCUAUGAGC